rnacentral:rRNA from 1 species
AAUAGAUACCCGGGUAGUCCACGCCGUAAACGAUGAGUGCUAAGUGUUAGAGGGUUUCCGCCCUUUAGUGCUGCAGCAAACGCAUUAAGCACUCCGCCUGGGGAGUACGGUCGCAAGACUGAAACUCAAAGGAAUUGACGGGGGGCCCGCACAAGCGGUGGAGCAUGUGGUUUAAUUCGAAGCAACGCGAAGAACCUUACCAGGUCUUGACAUCCUUAUGCCUUCUCUAGAGAUAGAGCUUUCCCUUCGGGGACAUAAGUGACAGGUGGUGCAUGGUUGUCGUCAGCUCGUGUCGUGAGAUGUUGGGUUAAGUCCCGCAACGAGCGCAACCCUUGAUCUUAGUUGCCAGCAUUCAGUUGGGCACUCUAAGGUGACUGCCGGUGACAAACCGGAGGAAGGUGGGGAUGACGUCAAAUCAUCAUGCCCCUUAUGACCUGGGCUACACACGUGCUACAAUGGAUGGUACAAAGGGAAGCGAAACCGCGAGGUUAAGCCAAUCCCAUAAAACCAUUCUCAGUUCGGAUUGCAGGCUG